rnacentral:rRNA from 1 species
CCUACGGGCGGCAGCAGUGGGGAAUAUUGCACAAUGGGGGAAACCCUGAUGCAGCGACGCCGCGUGAGUGAAGAAGUAUUUCGGUAUGUAAAGCUCUAUCAGCAGGGAAGAAAUAGCGACCUUUGGGUCGCCAGACGGUACCUGAUUAAGAAGCCCCGGCUAACUACGUGCCAGCAGCCGCGGUAAUACGUAGGGGGCAAGCGUUAGCCGGAUUUACUGGGUGUAAAGGGAGCGUAGACGGCAGCGCAAGUCUGAAGGGAAAUGCCGGGGCUAAACCCCGAAACUGCUAUGGAAACUGUGCAGCUAGAGUGCAGGAGAGGUAAGUGGAAUUCCUAGUGUAGCGGUGAAAUGCGUAGAUAUUAGGAGGAACACCAGUGGCGAAGGCAGCUUACUGGACUGUAACUGACGUUGAGGCUCGAAAGCGUGGGGAGCAAACAGGAUUAGAUACCCUUGUAGUC